UACGAAGGGGGCUAGCGUUGCUCGGAAUUACUGGGCGUAAAGCGCACGUAGGCGGCUUUCUAAGUCGGGGGUGAAAUCCUGGAGCUCAACUCCAGAACUGCCUUCGAUACUGGAGAGCUUGAGUUCGGGAGAGGUGAGUGGAACUGCGAGUGUAGAGGUGAAAUUCGUAGAUAUUCGCAAGAACACCAGUGGCGAAGGCGGCUCACUGGCCCGAUACUGACGCUGAGGUGCGAAAGCGUGGGGAGCGAACGGG
rnacentral:rRNA from 1 species